rnacentral:lncRNA from 1 species
UUUCAUAGAGUUUCCUUAGGAAAAGUACUCAGAUGUGGUUUUGCUUUAAUAUUCCUCUGAAUCUAGCCUACAGCACUUGGUGUCCCUUGAUGGUCUCCCAUCCAAGUCCCAGUGGUUCUCAACCUGUGGGUCCCCAGAUGUUUUGGCUUUCAACUCCCAGAAAUCCUAACAGCUUGUAAACUGGCUGGCAUUUCUGGGAGUUGUAGGCCAAAACACCUGGGAACCCACAGGUUGAAAACCACUGGUCUAGGCUUCAAUUCUGCUUAGCUUCCAAAUAUCUGGUGACUUUAUGGUAUUUAGGCAGGACCUAUAUGCUGUUUACAUUAAUACAAUUAUUUUGCACAGUUAAUGACAUGAACAGCAUUACAUAGCCUUAAGUAUUAGCUGCUUCUUUAGCUAUUUCUAUGUCUUUUUCACUCAUGUUACACUUGGCAAUUUAUUUUACUAAGCAAUCCAACUGGAAUCACCAAAUGAUGUAUGGCUGUGAAGAUAAAAAUCACUGGAUUAUUUUCAAAUCACCAUAAAUCCUGUAACAGUUCUGUGGUUUAGUAGCCUCUCUGGUGUUCUAAUAGAAAUUUUGGAUUAGUUUGCUUUAAACAUUUUAUUCUUGAAAGUGUUUUUUGUGUUUGUAGAGUGGAACUAUCUUAUAAGGUAGAGCUAUGCACAAAUCCAAAGUAGGAUAAGUUAAUAAUAAAAUGUUUGCCGUUGUUAAAAAGUAAGAGCCUGACUUAAUGGUGCAUGAUGUAAAAGGGUAAGGGACCAUUAAAAAUAAACUAUUCUAGGAUAUUUAUUGGUAGAUGCUGUUGAUGCUCAACUGAAUUGUGGUGAAAUAUUUAUUUUUGCCAAUAAUAAUAGACCCAGGUUGUAAAUGGAAUAUCUCUAACUUACUUAUACUGAAACAUGUUAUACUAAGUAAUGGAAACUAUUUUGCAUUUCAAGCUUCUCUGACAGAAUUCAUUUUAAAAAUUGAUUUUGGUAGCUUUGGAUUUCUAUAAUGAUAUUAAACCUAAAUUAUGUAAUACAAUAUAUAAAUUAUUUACAGUACUGUCAGCAUAGUUUAGUUUCUUUGCCCAAUAUAUUAAAUAAGCAACUUGUCUUAGAGAAAGUAUGUUAUAUUGACAUAUUUGAUAUUAUCUACAUUUCAGUAUUAUGUUUUGAAUCCAGGGACUAUUCUUAGAGUAGGCCCAAUGAAAUCAGUGAGACUUAAGUUUA